ACGACCUUACUUGAACAGGAUCUGUUCUAUAGGCUCGUACCUCUGUGUCCUUGAGUUCUAAGGAGACAGGAACCUACGUCUGGUGGAUGAAGAAUCAUGACCGUGUGAUCAGAGCGUGAUUAACGGCCUGAUGUGCUUCUCUUUGAAGGUGUCUCAUCUUGUGCUGUAGAGGAUCGUUCUUAGACACUUUCAUGUGCCUGGGAUGGUCACACGGUUGUCUGACAGACU
rfam:Glycine soja cultivar W05 scaffold4774_27, whole genome shotgun sequence.